rnacentral:snRNA from 1 species
GGAUGUGAGGGCAAUCUGGCUGCGACAUCUGUCACCCCAUUGAUCGCCAGGGUUGAUUCGGCUGAUCUGGCUGGCUAGGCGGGUGUCCCCUUCCUCCCUCACCGCUCCAUGUGCGUCCCUCCCGAAGCUGCGCGCUCGGUGGAAGAGGACGACCUUCCCCGAAUAGAGGAGGACCGGUCUUCGGUCAAGGGUAUACGAGUAGCUGUGCUCCCCUGCUAGAACCUCCAAACAAGCUCUCAAGAACGCGAGCAAUUGACACGGCACCAAGAACCGUGUUCCCAUCCCUGUCAGGCUGAACAG